GGUUGUUACAGCUAAUGGUGAGCUGCUCAGCAUGUUUGGGGUUCUUAAAGCUUGAAUUCUGUCCUUGGAGUGUAAAAGCCUUACAAUGAAUGUAGAAUAUGAUAUUUGUCUUCAAAGCAUCAAACAAUAUCCUGUUUUUCUGAGCUGGACAUCUCAUCAAAUGGGAUACUUGAAAGCCUUCAGAAACAUAUAUGGCUUCAAACCUAAGCUUUCACAGAUUGGAGCUGGAAGUGGGGCAUGGAGGUCUUGCAGCACAGUUGAGAGAACCCAAACACAAUAA
rnacentral:lncRNA from 1 species